rnacentral:tRNA from 1 species
GGAGGGUAUAGCUUAGUGGUAGAGCGCAUGCUUAGCAUGCAUGAGGUCCUGGGUUCAAUCCCCAGUACUUCCA